UACGUAGGCAGCGAGCGUUGUUCGGAAUUACUGGGCGUAAAGAGUGUGUAGGCGGUGUUCCCAGUCUGUUGUGAAAUCUCCCGGCUUAACUGGGAGGGUGCAGCGGAAACUAGAAUGCUAGAGGGUGGGAGAGGUAAGCGGAAUUCCUGGUGUAGCGGUGAAAUGCGUAGAUAUCAGGAGGAACACCGGUGGUGUAGACGGCUUCUGGACCGUAACUGACGCUGAGGCGCGAAAGCGUGGGGAGCAAACAGG
rnacentral:rRNA from 1 species